AAUAAAUACAGUUUUAGCACGGUUCAUAUCUAACGUUUGACCGUUCGUCUUAUUUGAAAAAAAUUAUAAUUAGUAUUUUUAUUGUUAUUCCAUGAUAAAACAUGAGUAUUACUUUACGUGUGACUAUUUUUUAAAAAAAAAUUCAUAAAAAUUUCAAAUAAGAUGGACGGUAAAAACGUUAAACACGGAUAUCUAUGGCUGUACUUAUU
rfam:Oryza rufipogon genomic scaffold, chr01